UACGGCCGCAUCACGUUGAAACAUCAGUUCCCGUACGAUCAUCGAAGUUAAGCAACGUUGAGACCGGUCACUACCUAGAUGGGUGACCGCUUUGGAAUAACAGGUGCUGUAA